UACCAGCACCCCGAGUGGUCGGGACGUUUAUUGGGCCUAAAGCAUCCGUAGCCGGUUCUACAAGUCUUCCGUUAAAUCCACCUGCUCAACAGAUGGGCUGCGGAAGAUACUAUGGAGCUAGGAGGCGGGAGAGGCAAGCGGUACUCGAUGGGUAGGGGUAAAAUCCGUUGAUCCAUUGAAGACCACCAGUGGCGAAGGCGGCUUGCCAGAACGCGCUCGACGGUGAGGAUGAAAGCUGGGGGAGCAAACCGG
rnacentral:rRNA from 1 species